AUACUUACCUGGCAGGGGCGAUACCAUGAUCAUGAAGGUGAUUUUCCCAAGGCGAGGCUUAUCUAUUGCACUCUGGAUGUGCUGACCUUUGCAAUUUCCUCAAAUGUGGAAGCUCAACUACAUAAUUGGUGGUAGUGGGGGACUGUGUUCGUGCUUUCCCCUG